rnacentral:lncRNA from 1 species
GGAUGGGAGAAUGGAGCAAGAUUGGUCAACAGACUCUGACUGUGAUUUUUCUCACUAAUGACAAAAGGAAUAACCUCUAGUGAGAAUGAAAUGAUGAAGGGUCUUUGAAAUUCUCUACUCUCUGAACACAGUGAAUGUGAAUGAAAGAUCUCAGGAAGAGUUUUCAAAAAGCUUAUUGCUCAAUCACCAGCCUUUGCGAGGAGUUGUGGAUUGACUGCUGUCUGCAAUAAGGUCACCAGAAACUGCCAUAGCUCUCAAGGCAAGCACAUGCUGAUAAUGACAAGCUGCUGAGACUCAAAGCUAUGUUUUAGCCCCAACCCCAGCACAGACUCACCACGAAGCUCUUUGAUUUCCAGACGGAACUUUCAUGAGGACGCACCACACUUAACUAAACCCUUGACCUAACAGACCUAUAGUGAAGAUGAAACCCCAAAGGAAGCUCCUACUGUUUGCCAAUAACUCAACAGAGCUCUGGAGAAACAGAUGAAUUCAAUGUGGCCUUUUGACUAGGGACAAUCGCCCACCACACUUCUGAUAACAGACAAGCCCUUCUUCAGCACUACAGGGUUAGCCAACCACAGUAUUCCAUCCCCCUGGCCUCAGUCAGAACCUUUGCUCCAGAAAUUUUCCUCUGGAACUAUCAGGAAGGACUUCCAGUUACCCCGGGGACGCCAUUUUGGAAACCUAGUACUGUCAUGGCCAAAUUAUCUAUCUUGGAGGAACAGCACCUACAGGAGUGAAGCCACCACACAGAUGGAAACAAAGGAGGAAGAAAAGGAAAGGGAGAGGAAAAAGGAGGAGGAAGAAGAAAGAGAGAAGGGGGAAGGGAAAGGAAGAUAAGAAGGAUACCACUCGGCAUUGUUUGCCUGGAUCCAGUCCUGCCACAAGCCAAUACCACCACCACCCUUUUUUUAAAAUCAAUUUUAUGACCCUGAGGCAAUAAUUCUUGCCCUCCUCCCAUGCAUACUUUUCACUACACUGAUCUUAACUACCUGAAACUGAGAACAUUUAGAUAAAAACCAGAGAAUUUGAGGUCAAUUUAGUAGCACAGCAACCACAUACAUAAAUAAUUGCAAAAAAAAAGUGAUGAAGCAUAAAUACAACACACUGUCAUGGUACAAAAAAGAAAGAUCAACUCAGCUUAGACGGUUUAUAGUUCAUCAGCCAGAGGUUGGCUUAUUCUUUUUUUUAAGGGACGUAGCCUAUAACUACAUCACAGAAAAAACAACAUGUAGGUGUCCCCUUACUCAAGAAAGGCCUUGUGACACUGGAGGUAAGUUUGGAAGAAUAUGGAUCUGUCAACCUGAGGAACUGGGAAAGAUGCAAAUAUGGAUCUGUCAACCUGAGGAAUUGGGAAAGAUGCAAAUAGAUAAAAACAGAACUAUGGUCCAACAGAUGUGGUAUAUUUGGUAUGGUAGAUUAGAUACAUCCACAAAUUCUUUGCUGCCCAUCCUAGUAAGAGGCAUGGCCUAAUUCCUCUCCCCUUGAAAAUACACUGACAUUUAGUGACAUUUUAUUAAAUAUGUACCCUUUUGUACCCAUCUUUUUCAUGUGGUGAAAUGAAAAAAUACAGCACUUCUGCUGUCUCAGCACAUUUUCAAGAUAUUCUAAGAAAUGUCUUGAAAAAGUAAAUAUAUAAAGACAGAAAGUAAAUGAGUGGUUGUCUAGGGCUAGGGGUUGGGAAUGGGAGUGAUUGCAAAUGGAUAUGAGAUUUCUGUUUGGGGUGAUGGAAAUGUUCUAAAAUUAGGUUGUGGGAAUGGUUGCACAACUCUGAGAAUAUACUAAAAAAACACUGAAUUGUAUACUUUAAAUAGGUGAAUUUUAUGACAUGUGAAUUACAUCUCAAUAAAGCUGUUAAAAAUUAGAUGAAAUGGACAAAUUCCUUAAAAAACAAAAUUUAACAAAACUAAUACAGGAGGAAAUAGAAAACCUGAAUGAAAUUAAAUAUCAAUGAAAUUGAUUCCUUCAUUUAAAAAUCCUUCCCACAAAGUAAACUUCAAAUCAAAAUAGCUUCAAUGAUGAAUUCUGAACAUUUAAGCAAAAAAUAAUACCAAUCUUAUAGAAAACUCAGAGACUUGAAAAGAGGAGGGUAUCAUUUCCAACUAAUUUUAUAAGAUCAGCAUAACCUCGAAGCUUCCUUCUAUUCCGAGAUUACUAAGAGUUCAUAAAGAAGUAUUAAAUUUUAUGUAAAAAUUUUUCUGGGCCAGGCGCUGUGGCUCACGCCUGUAAUCCUAGCACUUUGGGAGGCCGAGGUGGCGGAUCAUGAGUUCAGGAGAUCGAGACCAUCCUGGCUAACACAGUGAAACCCCGUCUCUACUAAAAAUACAAAAAAAAGUUAGCCGGGCGUGGUGGCGGGUGCCUGUAGUCCCAGCUACUCAGGAGGCUGAGGGAGCAGAAUGGCGUGAACACAGGAGGCGGAGCUUGCAGUAAGCCGAGAUCGUGUCACUGCACUCCAGCCUGGGUGACAGAGUGAGACUUCUCUCAAAAAAGAAACAAACAAAAAAUCUGUAUCUAUUGAGAUGAUUAUAUAUACAUAUUUUCUCCUUUAUAUAAAAGGGAUAAUAUGACCAAGUAGGAUUUAUGCCAGGAAUGCAAUCUUGGGAUCAGCAUAAAAAAGACAAUUGUAAAAGAUUGUCAAAUUAUACUUCACUAAAAUUAAGAAUUUCUGUUCAUCAAAAGAUACCGUUCAGAGAAGGAAAAGACAAACCACUAACUGAGAGAAGAUAUUUGCCAUCAUCCAGUGGUAUACCAAGGGCAAGGUAAUGGGAAAGUCUGCCUUGUAUGCAGACAGUAAAAGGGUUCAUUGUCUGAAAAUGUAAAAGCAAUACUAAAACUCACUGAAAAUCACUCUGCACUUUAUUAUUAUCAUGCACUGGAAAUUCUAAACAUUGUCAUAAUAAAAUAUUCAUCUAGAAAAAAUAUCUUUUAUUAGUUUAAGUUCUAAAUGAAAGUAUGAUCCACAGAUCUGGAGUAAUCCAAGAUCUUUUCAGAGAGUCCAUGGAGUCAGAAUAUUUUCAUAACUAAAACAUUGUUUUCCUUUUUCAUUGUGUUGACUGUGUGCGCUGAUGGUUCAAGACAAUGGUGACUAAAUCUACUUAUUCCUUAGCAGGAAUCAAGGCAGUGGCACAGAUUAUACUAGUAUACAUUGUAUUCUUCACCACUACACACUAACAGUUAACAACAAUAAGAAAAACCUAGUUUUACUUAAGAAAUAUAUCUAAUGAGGCAGUAAACAUUUUAUUAUCAUUUAACUUUUUUAUGGAUGGGCAUGGUGGCUCACGCCUGUAAUCCCAGCACUUUGGGAGGCUGAGGCAGGCAGAUCACCUGAAGUUGGGAGUUCGAGACCAGCCUGACCAACCUCUUUAGUAGAGAAACCCCAUCUCUACUAAAAAUACAAAAUUAGCCUGGUGUGGUGGCACGUGCCUGUAAUCCCAGCUACUAGAGAGUCUGAGGCAGGACAAUUGCUUGAACCUGGGAGGCAGAGGUUGCAGUGAGCAGAGAUCACACCAUUGCACUCUAGCCUGGGCAAUAAGAGUGAAACUCCAUCUCAAAAAAAAAAAAAUAUUGUCAUUUAACUUUUUAAUUAAAAUUUCAAUUACAAUUUAAAAAUUUACUAAAACAUUUAACUUUAUUAAAUCCUAAAUGUUCUUACCACCAAAAAAUUAUGCCUAUGGGAGGUGAUGAAAACAUUAAUUAGGUUGACUGUGGUAAUCCUUUCACAAAGUACACACACACACACACACACACACACACACAUAUAUAUAUAACCUUUUAAUCAACUAUACCUCAAGCUAGGAAAAAUGAAUUAAUUAACUUUAAAAUAAAACAUUUUAUUAAAUAUGGACCUUAGCAUACCCAUCUUUUUUAUGUGAUGACAUGGAAAAUAAAGCAGUUCUGUUGUCUCAAGGAAAAGCACUUUGUGAUUAUUUGACUGUGAGCUAAUCUAGCCAUUUUUUUUCUUUUUAUGGAACACCAGUUUGACUUUUAAAAAAACAACUGAUAGGCUGUAGUUAUUCAGACUUAGUUAUUUAGCAGAAAUUUUCUUUAAAACGACCAAAGUAAGCCUGGCACUUCAAGGAAAAAAACUAAAAUAUCUGUUAUCUAAAAGUUGAGCUUUUAAGCCUAAAUUGCAUGUUGGAAACUUGUAUCUGCUACUGUGAGCUUGAAAGCUGCUGUGAGCUUGAAAACUCUUCUGAUGAGAUUGGUGAUGAUAUUAAUAAAUAUAGUGUUUUUGCUACUAUAAAAUGAAAUGUGUCUAUCAAUAGCAUUUUAGAGAAUCUCUCAAUUCUAUCCAAAAUGAUGUUAUUCUGAUAAUAAAGCCCAGAUCUGCAACUUUAA